CGUCGCGUCACCGUGAGACGCUUAGGACAGGCAGCCUCAUCGCCCUCCUAAUGUAACGCCUACGAAAACCCCGAUCCGAUUCAACGGUUUCACACCACUUAAUUCACACAAAUGGAGCUCCGUAUCUGCAACCCUCUUCGUCGUCUUCCUCUUCUCUCCAGUUGCUCCUAUCAAAUUAAAUCCUCCCAAGUUCGAAGGUUCUCUGUUCGGAGCUGCCGCUUAGACCCCAAUGAAUCACACAAGCUAGUUUUGCAAGUGAAGAAGAAGCUUGAGAAAGAUCAUCAAAGUCUCCCUGUAGGCAAAAAUGGAAGAGAUGAUGAGGAUAUGAUCCUCUGGUUUCUCAAGGACCGCAAGUUUUCGGUCGACGAAUCUGUUGAAAGACUGACUAAAGCAAUUAAAUGGCGUGAAGAAUUUGGGGUGUCUGAAUUAUCUCACGAUUCAGUGAAGAGUGUAGCCGAAACUGGAAAAGCUUAUGUACAUGACUUUCUUGAUGUUAAUGGUAGACCAGUUCUCAUAGUGGAUGCCUCUAAGCAUCUUCCUGCUGUGCAUGAUCAUGCUGAGAAUGAGAAGCUCUGCGUGUUUUUGAUUGAGAAGGCAUUGAGUGCUCUUCCAGAAGGGACAGAAGACAUACUUGGAAUCUUUGACCUACGAGGCUUCGGUACAGAGAAUGCAGAUUUAAGUUUCAUAACAUUUUUGUUUGAUGUUUUCUACUAUUAUUAUCCAAAGCGAUUGGGCCAAGUCCUCUUUGUCGAAGCUCCAUUUAUAUUCAAGCCAAUUUGGCAGCUGGCCAAGCCUUUGUUAAAAUCAUAUGCUUCGUUGGGGAUACAUGGAAGACCUCAGCUCCUUUGAGCUUUAAAAACUUCCAGAGUUUCUUAAGAUUUUUCGUGAAUGUGGCCUGUCAGUCAAGUUCUGAAAGCCAUCAUUGGAAUUUAGGUGAGGUUUUGCUCCGUGGAGACUGUCAGGAAGGAAUAUUUUACAGAUGCAACGGUGCCGGCCAAUUUUAGAGACUGAGAAAUGUCUCUCAAGUUUUGACUUGAUGUAGCAGUGUAUAAUUCUUUUUGUACAAAAGAAUGGCUUUUAUCUUUUGCCAGUAGAAUAUAUUUACUUUUAGCUUUAUAAUUUUGGGGGUUAGAAAAACUCAUUCGUUCUAGUCCAAUUUUGCUCGACAAGAAACAACGACACCAUGUAGUAUAUGGUCAAUCAAUUUAUGGCCUUUGAAUUGUUA